AGAGUUUGAUCAUGGCUCAGGAUCAACGCUGGCGGCGUGCCUAACGCAUGUAAGUCGCACGCACGGUCUCUGACCGUGAGUGGCGAACGGCUGAGGAACACGUACGAACCUGCCCGCUUGUGGGGAAUACCCCACCGAAAGGUGCGCUAAUACCGCAUACGCUCAUCCCGCUCGGGAUGAGGAAAGCCGCAAGGCGCUUCGGGAGGGGCCUGCGUCCGAUUAGCCCGUUGGUGGGGUAACGGCUCACCAAGGCGACGAUCGGUAGGUGGUCUGAGAGGACGAUCACCCAGACUGGGACUGAGACACGGCCCAGACUCCUACGGGAGGCAGCAGUGGGGAAUAUUGGACAAUGGGCGAAAGCCUGAUCCAGCAACGCCGCGUGAGGGAUGACGGCCUUCGGGUUGUAAACCUCUUUCAGCAGGGACGAAGCGCAAGUGACGGUACCUGCAGAAGAAGCACCGGCCAACUACGUGCCAGCAGCCGCGGUAAUACGUAGGGUGCAAGCGUUGUCCGGAAUUACUGGGCGUAAAGGGCGCGUAGGUGGCCUUGUUAGUCGGACGUGAAAUCCCCAAGCUUAACUUGGGAACUGCGUCCGAUACUGCAAGGCUUGAGUUCGGGAGAGGGAUGUGGAAUUCCAGGUGUAGCGGUGAAAUGCGUAGAUAUCUGGAGGAACACCGGUGGCGAAGGCGGCAUCCUGGACCGAAACUGACACUGAGGCGCGAAAGCUAGGGGAGCAAACGGGAUUAGAUACCCCGGUAGUCC
rnacentral:rRNA from 1 species